rnacentral:rRNA from 1 species
UUGGCACCUCGAUGUCGGCUCAUCACAUCCUGGGGCUGAAGUAGGUCCCAAGGGUAUGGCUGUUCGCCAUUUAAAGUGGUACGCGAGCUGGGUUUAGAACGUCGUGAGACAGUUCGGUCCCUAUCUGCCGUGGGCGCUGGAGAAUUGAGGGGGGCUGCUCCUAGUACGAGAGGACCGGAGUGGACGCAUCACUGGUGUUCGGGUUGUCAUGCCAAUGGCAUGCCCGGUAGCUAAAUGCGGAAGAGAUAAGUGCUGAAAGCAUCUAAGCACGAAACUUGCCCCGAGAUGAGUUCUCCCUGAGACUUUAAGUCUCCUGAAGGAACGUUAAAGACGAUGACGUUGAUAGGCCGGGUGUGUAAGCGCAGCGAUGCGUUGAGCUAACCGGUACUAAUGAACCGUGAGGCUUAACCUUACAACGCCGAAG